CAUGUAUAAAAAGAAGAAAAAUGCUAAUUGCAAGCGAGAGAGGAAGUCGUCGAGCAGUUGGGUCCUACGAGUCCUUAAUGAAAUGGCCGAGACGAGCCCGGAAGCACAAGCGCAAGCUCAAGAGUGUGCCCUCCAAAGCUCAGUCCAUUCCUUUUUCACCAAGAAUCGAGAAUUUCUUCGCUGGAAAUUAUAUUGCCUCUUGUAAGUUUUGAUUCUUUAUGACCAGGAUUUCGUUGAAGUCAUUUGGUGAUAGAGAAAUGUUGGCUAUGGAAACUUUUUAAGUCUCACCCAAAUGUUUGCUUGGUCAUAGUCUCAAAUUCAAUGAAAUCAAGAAGUAAGUCGAGUUCUGAAACCUUUUUUAGAUGAGGGGUUCAGGGUAAUGGCUAUUAAUCCGAAUUAUGAUUGUAUAUUCAAGAAUACUCAUGCGGAAGUGUGGUUUGAUAGGCUAAGGAAAGGGAUUGUGGAUCCUGGGUGUUUUUUUUUGGGUGAAUGUUGCUCGUCUAUAGGCUCUCGAAACAGACUUCGAAUCUGACUCCAAUCAACCGAAUAAAAUACCGAUUGCAGCAACACAAUGAAAUUAAAUCCAGACCUUCCACUCAGCCUGGAAACAACUCUUGAGACUAGGUAAGGGUCAUUGUGCCCCCACUUGUUCCCAUCAAAAGUCAGUGCAAAUUCUUCAAUGAACUUGUAAAGCAGUGGAUGAUCUGCCUUUUUCAUCUACACACGAAGACGACUCAACCCAAAGAUUUACCUUUUUCAUCUACCCACUUGAAAACGAAGACGAGAGACCCAUGCGAAGAAGAGAGACUGACGAAGAAGACGACCACCUGAUGUCUUUCUUUCUUUUUUUUUUUGUCUUUUUUAUUAUUAAUUUUUAAUUUAAUUGACGUGGCCUGCGCGCUUACCCCGCAUUUGCAUCUCCCGAUUGACUGUAGCAGGAUUGUAAAAAGAAAUCUUUGAGGUCACAAAAUCAUAAAACCUAAGGUUUGAAAAUAAAACUAUCAAGUUAUCUAUAA